UACAGUUCCAGCCUUGUAAGUGCAAGUAAAGUUGAGAAAAAGGGAAAAUGGCAGUGACAGGUUCGAAUUCUGAGCAGCCACAGUUCAUUGCCAGCGCUGGAAAUCGAAGCUUUUCAUCUAAUGCCCCACUGAUUGAGAACUCUGAUGCUUAGAUUGUUGUUCCAGAUAGGACGAGCUGGAAAAUCUUCUUUGCUUAUCUGGGUCCUGGACUUCUUGUCUCUAUUGCAUAUAUUGACCCUGGAAAUUUUGAGACAGAUUUACAAUCUGGAGCAGAACACAAGUAUGAGCUACUAUGGAUAAUAUUGGUGGCUUCAUGUGCUGCUCUCAUCUUUCAAUCCAUGGCAGCCAACCUCGGGGUGGUCAUAGG